GCCUUCUGGCUAAGAUCAAGUGUAGUGU
rnacentral:snRNA from 1 species